GGUAGUUCUCGGGGCGGGGUGAAAGUCCCCACCGGCGGUGAUGCCCUUCAACUCAGGGACGAGCCCGCGAGCGCUCUCAUCGGACACGAUGUGAGGUCAGCAGAUUCUGGUGAGAUUCCGGAGCCGACGGUCAUAGUCCGGAUACGAGAGAACGGCA
rnacentral:ncRNA from 2 species